rnacentral:pre_miRNA from 1 species
ACAACAUUCGGACCGUCGGUCUACCGAGCAAUAUCACCCGUUCGGUGGAAGAUCUUCUCUCCGUGGU